GCAGGCUUGAUUUGCAUCAAUAAAAGCAGCAAUCUGUGCUGGCCAUGCUAACCCUGUUGGCUGUUAGGGGGUAGGGGCACUCUGUAAAGGGGAGUCACUGGGACAGUGUAGGAUCAGCCUUCAGAGCCUGCUGCCUGACCCUAGAGGAGGAGCCUACACACAUACUGUUGUUUUAGUUCACGAGCAGCGGUCGAAGCCUGUUAGCCAUCCUGGUUACCUGCUUGUGCCAGACAGAACUUCCUGUCCCAGAGAGUGAAGUGAGUUCCAUAAAAGCCCAGUCUCCUCCCUCAUGUGACCUGCACCAGGAACCAGCCAGGGGACUGGAGUCACUGAGUCACAGGAGCCUCUGGAAGGUUCUCCUGACCAAGCCCUUGAGACUAAGCAUCUGGGUGGCCUGAGCUGGAUUGGAUUCAUCACCCAACACCCCAUCAUGGGACCACUGACAGCAAAACCCUCAAAGCUCUGCCCUCUGGGGUGUGAGUAGAAACAGACACAUGUGCUUACCACCGCUAACAUGGGGCGUCAGUAAAUACUAUUUCAAUAUGUGCUUGAUCAUCAUACGACAUUAAAGAUGUUAAAGACGUA